rnacentral:lncRNA from 1 species
UAUAAAAGCAACUUCUGAUCCCUGAUGAAAAAGCAAAGGCACCUCUCAAGGAUCCUGCAGUUUGACCUCAAGCACUUUGUAGCAUGGAGCUGGUCCAAUGAGCAUGUCCCUUCUGAACAAAGUCAGCAAUGGCUUUGGAUGGGACCACCUGCAAAGAUGGCAGGGAUGAUAAGAAUGAUAAGAAUCAGUUUACCUGAUUCUUAAACAAUUCUUCCUUUUUUUUUUUUUUUUUUUUUGGCUGCACCUGAGGCAUAUAGAAGUUCCCAGGCCAGGGGCUGAAUUCAAGCUGCAGCUGCGACCAAUGCCACAGCUGCAGCACCAUCGGCUCCUUAACCCACUGCACUGGGCUGGGGAUAGAACCCAAGCCUCAGCAGUGACCCGAGCUACUGCAGAGACUAUGCUGGAUCCUUAAUCUACUGAGCCACCAGGGAACUCCAAGUGGGAUCUUAAUAUUCUUUAAUGAUCUUUAAAAGGUUGUGUUCAACUUCAUGGAAAACUGGAGGAAACAUUUUUCCCCUGGAGGAAACUUUUAUUUCUGCUCUUGCCUCAUUGAUCGCAUCUCCUAUGACGCUCUCCACCCCCACCUCUGAUUCUUACUCUGCUUCAUUCACUCUGGCUUCCCAGCAACAGCACCCACCUACCCCAGGGCCUUUGUACAUGCUCUUGGCUCUGCCAGAACCCUCUUCUUCCAGAUACCCACAUGGCUCCCUCACCUUCUUUAGGUCCUUCUUUCCACUGUCACCUUCAGAGUGAGGCCUUUCUUGACCACCUUCUACACCAUUUAGCAUUUGGAUUUUCAGCAUUUCCAAACUCACAUUGAAAAAUAACAGCUGUACUGAGUUAGAAUUCACAUACUAUAACCAAGAUACUAGUUUUAAAGACAUUCAUCUUUACCUCCUCUGGUUUUAUGGAUUGUACUGAGUGAGUUCUAAAAUGCCUCGUUUUCAUGUUUCUGACAUCAGGAUGCAUCUUACAAGGAUGGCGUGCCCGUUUAAGGAGCAGUGUUUUACUUUUUUCUUUCGUAGCCGUACGUAAAAUAAUGCACCAAGGGCAUCUUUGCCUUGAUGAACUAUGGCAUCUAAAGUUCCCAUCACCUUUUAUUCCAAGGAGCUCAGAGUACAGGCUUCGGCUGGACUUGUUGAUGAAGACAUAAAUUACAUUAUUAAGCUGCAAUAGAAAGAGAUUGCUUUUGGAGGGAGCACUGAUCCUGCAGUGGCUUCUAAGUUCAUCUGGGCUGGAGGGUGGGAAACGUUUUUGUUAAUUGAUCAGUCCUGCUCUUCUGUUUAGAAUCUUUUCCUUGUCUUCCUUCCUGUGUCUCUCUCUCUAAUGCUUGCCAGGGGAUUUCUUUUCUGUGGCGAAUGUUAAAAACCAUCAUCAUGAAAAACCUUCACAGUGACUCAGUCUUUGAAAACUGACAUCAAGGUGAAUGUCUCGUGGAAAUUUGGGGCUCGCUGGGCUGCCACGGGCCGUUUGCAUUUAAACAAGCUGUGACUUUGAUUUAAGGAUUUGACUUGAUAGGUAAUAUAUCCAAAGCAGGAGGUGAUGUAUAUACUGUUUCCAUCAGAAAUAUCAAGUUCGCUGUGUGAUGUGUUUAUUUCUCUGAGUGGUUAUGUAUUUAAUAAAUAAUGUGUUUCAGUGGGUAUUAUUUUCAUUUCAGUCUUUAAUACCUCCACAAUAUGUCUCAGUUUUUUUUGGGGGGGUGAAUGACACCUCAUAAAUUACGAGCUGUUAUUAGCUGCUUUCUCCUUGCAUCUUAAUUACUAGGCUGAAAAGAGAGGGCAGACUUUUAUAAGCGUUCAUAUUUUCUGUUUACAAGGCUUUUACUGACGUCUAAUAAAUUUAAUUACCUCUAAUAAGAAGAGGAAAUGAAGUUCUAUUUAGCAAAUUCAUAGCUUUGAAAUGCAUCUUGCAGCUUUAUGAGCAUGGCAAAAGCUCCAGGAAGGUGCAUGCCAUUUGCUGGGUUAAACUAACUGCAAAACUGUUAAAUUAUUUUUGCUUCCAUUUUAUUGCUUAACCUCCAGGGUAAACUUCAGGCUACCUGAUAAAGCAGCCGCUCAGGAACUUUAAACUUUACAUGCUUUGCCCCACAGGGCCGAAGCUGACUCCGGUAUUAAAGGUACAUUUUUCAAACAUAAUUUUAGAUUUGGAAAUUGAUUGUGUCUUGACCUACUUAUUUCCAAGAGCUGUUCAUUCCCGACUCCUUUGUUUUGCUCAUAUUAUAAAUCCAUUGUUCUUUCAGGAGGGCUCCCAGCUGAAAAGGGGUGGGGUGGGGGGAAUCAAUGUGGUGAAGACAGGUUCAUUCUGCCACAGCAAUGCUAUCAUUUGAAUCAAAUCCACAAUUAACUGGACUCAGGCUACAGCAAAGACAAGCCGUGAUCUCUGAGCAACUGUUUCCUACAGAGGUCGGGAGCCAAGUAGACGUCUGGCUUAUAAAGAUUAUGUUUGAAGGGAGAGGGAUCCCAUAAAAUAUUUACCGACUUAUUUUAUGGGGCAUCAGAGAGUUCAUUUGGAUUUCUCUUUUGGUCAGAUAGCUUCCCAAAUAAUACUGUUUAGGCAUCUAGCUUUUCAUGUACUGUAGCAUAUUGGCAGGCAGACCCUUGAAAAAAAACCGUGCUAUUUAGUGACAAUGCUUUCUUUUCUUGGUCUUUUUUCAAAACCUGAAAAUCACCCGGGGUUAAUACGAAGGGCUUGUGAAUGGAUAAAGUGUCUUUUAACCUUGGCCAUCGUAGGUUAGAUCUCUCUCCCCAUCUCUCUCUCUCUCCUUGGCUUGACCACGUGCUCCUCUGAGGCACUCCUUGGGGCUUGUCUUCUGCCCUUUCUUGGUCCUUGCCCCCCACUCUCCAUCCUUCCUUUUGAUGAGUCUGUGGCUUCAUAAUAGCCUCACAAUCCCUAUCCUUUAUCUAUUGGCCAACCCUUUAUUUCUGCUCCUUGUUAUCUCCCCUGGGACAAUGGUGGCAGCUUUCCCAUGAGCCUUUCUUCCAGUUUUGGUCCUUGUAACCUGUUAUCCACAGCAGUGGUCAGCACUAGCUUUCUCUUAAAGAGUAAACACACAUCCAGUCCUAUCAGGUCCCAAAGCAUCCCUCUAGUCUCAUCUCUCAUCUCUCCACUGGACCCUUCACCUCCUUGAGACCCGCCAAACCUCUGGUUCCAAUCAAAUGGCGCUUCCUGUUUUCCACAUCCACCCGGUCCUUCCAACGGAUUCCAUUGGUACCUUCGCCAGAGAGAUUACACUGGAGAGUGACUGCCGUGGAUUUAAGAGUAAAGACAAAGGAAACACCGUGGGUAGACCAUUUUACUGUUUCAAAUAAUCUGCAUGACAAAAGAAGAAAAGAGAGGGUUUAGGAAGGAUUUCUUUUUUUCAAGCAUCUGAAGUUUUAAUAAGUGUUGCUUCUAAGACAUUAAUGUAGGAAGGAUAUUUUUAACAUUUGUUUAUGCAUACUGGUCAUUUCAGUGUUUUCUUUUGAGAAUAGCUUGUUCCUAUCCUUUGUCAUUAAAAAAACCAAAUCAUCCUUUUUUAUUGAUUUCUGGGAACUCUUUGUAUAUUUUGGAUAUUAUCCUAUUGAAUUCUUUUUCUUUCCUUUAAAAUUUUUUUUUGUGGCAAAACACACCACAUCACAUAAAAUUUAUGAGUUUAACCAUUUUUAAGUAUACAGUUCAGUAUCAUCACAUGCAUUCCCACUGAUGUACAACUAUCAGUACUACCCAGCUCCAGAACUUUGUAAUCUUCUUUACACUGAAACUUGGUUCCCAUCAAGCAAUAACUCCCCAUCCCCCUUUCCCCUGAGCCUUGACAACCAUUGUUCUACUUUCUAUCUCUAUGAAUUUAACUAUUCUAAAUAUCUCAUGUAAGUGGAAUUGUAUAGUAUUUGUCCUUCUGUGACUGGCUUAUUUGACACAGUAUAGUGUCCUCAAGGUUCACCUAUGUUGUAGUACAUGUCAGAAUUUCUUUCUGGAGUUCCCGUUGUGGUGCAGUGGUUAACGAAUCCGACUUGGAACCAUGAGGCUGCGGGUUUGGUCCCUGGCCUUGCUCAGUGGGUUAACGAUCCGGCGUUGCCGUGAGCUGUGGUGUAGGUUGUGGACACGGCUCAGAUCCCGCAUUGCUGUGGCUCUGGCAUAGGCCGGUGGCUACAGUUCCGAUUCGACCCCUAGCCUGGGAACCUCCAUAUGCCGUGGGAGCAGCCCCAAAGAAAUAGC